GUGAGGAAUAUUGCGCAAUGGAGGCAACUCUGACGCAGCCAUGCCGCGUGCAGGAAGAAGGCGCUACGCGUUGUAAACUGCUUUUAACCGGGAAGAAACCCCAGGACGUGUCCUGGGUUGACGGUACCGGAGGAAUAAGCACCGGCUAACUUCGUGCCAGCAGCCGCGGUAAUACGAAGGGUGCAAGCGUUAUCCGGAUUCAUUGGGUUUAAAGGGUGCGUAGGCGGAGCGUUAAGUCAGUGGUGAAAUCCUGCAGCUUAACUGUAGACUUGCCAUUGAUACUGGCGCUCUUGAGUUCGCUUGAAGUGGGCGGAAUGUGCCGUGUAGCGGUGAAAUGCUUAGAUAUGGCACAGAACACCAAUUGCGAAGGCAGCUCACUAAGGCGAUACUGACGCUGAGGCACGAAAGCGUGGGGAUCGAACAGGAUUAGAAACCCGAGUAGUCC
rnacentral:rRNA from 1 species